AGUCGAACGAGAAUCUGUGGAAAGAGGAUUCGUCCAAUUGAAGCAGAGGACAGUGGCGGACGGGUGAGUAACGCGUGAGGAACCUGCCUUUCAGAGGGGGACAACAGUUGGAAACGACUGCUAAUACCGCAUAACAUAUAGGUGUCGCAUGGCACUUAUGUCAAAGAUUUAUCGCUGAAAGAUGGCCUCGCGUCUGAUUAGCUAGUUGGUGAGGUAACGGCCCACCAAGGCGACGAUCAGUAGCCGGACUGAGAGGUUGAACGGCCACAUUGGGACUGAGAUACGGCCCAGACUCCUACGGGAGGCAGCAGUGGGGAAUAUUGGGCAAUGGGCGCAAGCCUGACCCAGCAACGCCGCGUGAAGGAAGAAGGCUUUCGGGUUGUAAACUUCUUUUGUCAGGGACGAGUAGAAGACGGUACCUGACGAAUAAGCCACGGCUAACUACGUGCCAGCAGCCGCGGUAAUACGUAGGUGGCAAGCGUUGUCCGGAUUUACGGGGUGUAAAGGGCGUGUAGCCGGGAGGGCAAGUCAGAUGUGAAAUCCACGGGCUCAACUCGUGAACUGCAUUUGAAACUACUCUUCUUGAGUAUCGGAGAGGCAAUCGGAAUUCCUAGUGUAGCGGUGAAAUGCGUAGAUAUUAGGAGGAGCACCAGUGGCGAAGGCGGAUUGCUGGACGACAACUGACGGUGGGGCGCGAAAGCGUGGGGAGCAAACAGGAUUAGAUACCCUGGUAGUCCACGCUGUAAACGAUGAAUACUAGGUGUGCGGGGACUGACCCCCUGCGUGCCGCAGCUAACGCAAUAAGUAUUCCACCUGGGGAGUACGAUCGCA
rnacentral:rRNA from 1 species